CUCAUAGAGAAGUGCGAGAUAACACACACUAGUGUGCUAUACCAGGAAACCUCUGUUUCCUGUUCUAGGGCAGCAGUAGCAGCAGCACAUGGCCCAGUAAUUCUUCUCCCACCAUGCCAGGUUCACCUCACAGUGCAGAGUCCUGAAAAUAAAGAAGAAGAUUUUUUUUUGUCUAGAAAAAGAAUCAAACAUGUUACUUUCUAGCCUGCUGAAGGUGGUCACAGCUUCACUCUGGCUAGGAUCUGGCAUUGCCCAGAAGAUAACUCAAACCCAACCAGCAAUGUUCGUGCAGGAAAAGGAGGCUGUGACUCUGGACUGCACAUAUGACACCAGUGAUCAAAAUUACGGUCUAUUCUGGUACAAGCAACCCAGCAGUGGAGAGAUGAUUUUUCUUAUUCUUCAGAUGUCUUAUGACAAGCAAAAUGCAACAGAAGGACGCUACUCAUUGAACUUCCAGAAGGCAAGAAAAUCCGUCAACCUUGUCAUCUCUGCUUCACAAGUGGGGGACUCAGCAACGUAUUUCUGUGCAAUGAGAGGGCACAGUGAGAGAACCGUCGGAGGGAGGUGUACAAAAGCCCCGGGGACCUGCUUGAGACCUCCAUCUGCUGGAGAACCAAGGCGGGAAAUCAACAUCACAGACAGGAAGUGGCUACAGCUGUGGCAGCACAGAGGCAGUGUUGUAGGAAAUACACUCACUCUAAGAAAACACCUCUUUAAGUUCACAGACCAUGAUCAAAAUUAUCAUUAAUUAAAAACUUUCUUAUCUCUGAAUCUUUGGUUUAAAGUUAGACAUAUCAAAUUUGUG